rnacentral:ncRNA from 1 species
AGCCAUGCCGCGUGUGUGAAGAAGGUCUUCGGAUUGUAAAGCACUUUAAGUUGGGAGGAAGGGCAGUUACCUAAUACGUGAUUGUUUUGACGUUACCGACAGAAUAAGCACCGGCUAACUCUGUGCCAGCAGCCGCGGUAAUACAGAGGGUGCAAGCGUUAAUCGGAAUUACUGGGCGUAAAGCGCGCGUAGGUGGUUAGUUAAGUUGGAUGUGAAAUCCCCGGGCUCAACCUGGGAACUGCAUUCAAAACUGACUGACUAGAGUAUGGUAGAGGGUGGUGGAAUUUCCUGUGUAGCGGUGAAAUGCGUAGAUAUAGGAAGGAACACCAG